AGAGUUUGAUCCUGGCUCAGAUUGAACGCUGGCGGCAUGCCUAACACAUGCAAGUCGAACGGUAGCAGGCCGUUCGGUCGCUGACGAGUGGCGGACGGGUGAGUAAUGCGUAGGAAUCUGUCUUUUAGUGGGGGACAACCCAGGGAAACUUGGGCUAAUACCGCAUGAGCCCUGAGGGGGAAGCGGGGGAUCUUACGGACCGUCGCGCUAAGAGAAGAGCCUACGUCUGAUUAGCUAGUUGGAGGUAAAGGCCUACCAAGGACGACGAUCAGUAGCUGGUCUGAGAGGACGACCAGCCACACUGGGACUGAGACACGGCCCAGAC
rnacentral:rRNA from 1 species